rnacentral:sRNA from 1 species
GUGUGAGGGAAGCCUGACUGUGCCGUCUGCCACCCUAUUGACCACCAGGGUGUUCUGGGCUAAUCUAGCCAGCUAAGCAGGUGUCCCCUUCCUCCUUCGCCGUC